GAUGAACGCUGGCGGCGUGCCUAAUACAUGCAAGUCGAACGCACAGCGAAAGGUGCUUGCACCUUUCAAGUGAGUGGCGAACGGGUGAGUAACACGUGGACAACCUGCCUCAAGGCUGGGGAUAACAUUUGGAAACAGAUGCUAAUACCGAACAAAACUUAGUGUCGCAUGAUACAAAGUUAAAAGGCGCUUCGGCGUCACCUAGAGAUGGAUCCUCGGUGCAUUAGUUAGUUGGUGGGGUAAAGGCCUACCAAGACGAUGAUGCAUAGCCGGGUUGAGAGACUGAGCGGCCACAUUGGGACUGAGACACGGCCCACACUCCUACGGGAGGCUGCAGUAGUGAAUCUUCCACAAUGGGCUAAAGCCUGAUGGAGCAACGCCGCGUGUGUGAUGAAGUCUUUCGGGUCGUCAAGCACUGUUGUCUGGGAAGAACAGCUAGAAUGGGAAAUGAUUUUAGUUAGACGGUACCAUACCAGAAAGGGACGGCUAUAUGCCAGCCAGCCGCCGCCGUAA
rnacentral:rRNA from 1 species